rnacentral:misc_RNA from 1 species
AUAUCCCAUAUUAGCCGGUUUCUCAUGUUUAUCUUGCAUGUCUCUUAGAUAAUUCCUGAUGUUAUUCAGCAUCUAAUACACUUCCCUAUCUAUAAUGUAAGAGAAAAUACUCGAUACCAGCUUGCGCCGUUCACAAAUCGGUUUCCAGCCUCAUUGGGCAUAAUGCUUUUUAAUCACCGAUAUACACUUUAUCUGUCGGGUUCGAUAAUCCUACUUAACAGGAUUGUUCACUAUAGUGCACGCCCCUUACAGAAGGGAUGAGACCUAUCGAUAUUGAAAACGGAGGCAAACGUAUUCAUUCAAGUCAUUUGUUGGUUGAUGAAUUAAAUAAGAAAAUAUCAGUCAGUAUAAGGCUCCUAGUAACUUAGAUAAAAAAAAAUGUCAAAUUAGUAUAUUAAACCAUUCUAAGAUACUAAAAUACGAGGUACACGCAUUAGAAAUUAAUACCAGGACUUGCAGAAGAGUCUUCUAAAGC